UCCUUGGAGUGGAAUUAGUAAAAAGGAUAUGAAUAUUUUUAAGUCUCUUGCUAUGUCAGACUGAUUUCCAGAAGGCUUGUACCAAUUUUCUCUUCUACCGACAACUUUUCGCCACCUGGAAGUGGGGAGCCAGCUCCAGCACAGAGCUUUGUGGGAGGACAAAAGAGAUGAUGUGGAUAAAGUGCUCCGCAGAUCAUCAGGGGCGGCAAAGAACAAGUAAUUAAGAUGACAUUUGUGAGUACUAAUUUGGAUCACACUUAUGUGUAUGUGUUAUAAAGCUGCAAGCCAAAACAUGCAAACCCAGCCUUUCAUGGAGGAGAAAAUGAAAAAAUACUGAGUGAAAUGGGAGCAUGGGAAACUCGGAGGAGCUGAACAUCGGUUAGAAGACGGAGGCUGGAUAACUUUGUGGAAAGUUCUUCUGUGGAUCAUUUUUAUCUUGGCCAAGUUGCAGCUUCAGAACC